rnacentral:rRNA from 1 species
GACGAACGCUGGCGGCGUGCUUAACACAUGCAAGUCGAACGGAAGGGCCCUGCUUUUGUGGGGUGCUCGAGUGGCGAACGGGUGAGUAACACGUGAGUAACCUGCCCUUGACCUUGGGAUAACUUCAGGAAACUGGGGCUAAUACCGGCUAGGAGCUCCUGCUGCAUGGUGGGGGUUGGAAAGUUUCGGCGGUUGGGGAUGGACUCGCGGCUUAUCAGCUUGUUGGUGGGGUAGUGGCUUACCAAGGCUUUGACGGGUAGCCGGGCUGAGAGGGGGACCGGCCACAUUGGGACUGAGAUACGGCCCAGACUCCUACGGGAGGCAGCAGUGGGGAAUAUUGCACAAUGGGCGGAAGCCUGGUGCAGCAACGCCGCGUGCGGGAUGACGGCCUUCGGGUUGUAAACCGCUUUCGCCUGUGACGAAGCGUGAGUGACGGUAAUGGGUAAAGAAGCACCGGCUAACUACGUG